GUCAUUUUUUAUUUUGAGUCAAGAGACAUCCUCAAUCUUAGAGAUGUGUCUUACAAAGCUUAAAGAGGCAGCAGAUCUCACACCAAGGUGUGUUAUGGUUGACCGGGAUCAGAAAGAAAUCAAGGCAAUCAAGACUGUCUUUCCACAUGCAUCUGUGUUGCUUUGCUGGUUUCAUGUACUUCAGGCAAUCCACCGUUGGGUUGUUAAACAAGAUGGAGGCCAUGUCCAAGAUCCAGCUGUGAGAAACAUCAUCGUUCAAGGAAUAUUUUCUCUCAAGCAAUGUCGCACAGUUGAGUGCUCUUUUCUGUCUUUUCACACCUUUUCGAAAAACGUUUGACACAGCUGUCAUUGCAAAUUUCCAAAUUCCAUUUGGAUUACUAUCUUGAACAAAUGGAAAGCUUCUAUUCACAACCCAAAGAUAUUUUCAACAUACAGUUAUAUAUGAAUGUUCAAAGUCUGUCUGGAAAUCUCCCCCUCCAUAAUUCUUCAAUCCACAACAACUCAUUAUGCAUAUAAAAUGCCCUUUGCUAUUUACAGGCGUGGGUCAAAGAGGCAAACAACAUAUAGAGUAAAUGUGAAAAUAUCCAUGAUUUGAUGAAAAAGGGUUGUUAAAAAAAUUGGGAUGUUACUGGGCUGUGUCAUUAGUCUGAAAUCCCAUUGGUCCGACAUGCCAUUAGUCCGACCAUACACAAGACUAGUAACUACACUACACCAUUUCCAGACCCUAGCCACUCUAAUCACAGGUCUAGUGUAUGGUUGGACUAAUGGAAUGUCAGAUUAAUGAGGAGCUCUCA